CCUACGGGAGGCUGCAGUGGGGAAUAUUGCGCAAUGGGCGAAAGCCUGACGCAGCGACGCCGCGUGAGGGAUGAAGGUCUUCGGAUCGUAAACCUCUGUCAGCAGGGAAGAACGGUCACUGUGCUAAUCAGCAGUGAAUUGCCGGUAACUGCAAAGGAAGCACCGGCUAACUCCGUGCCAGCAGCCGCGGUAAUACGGAGGGUGCGAGCGUGAGUCGGAAUUACUGGGCGUAAAGGGCGCGUAGGCGGUAUGGCAAGCCAAGGGUGAAAUCUCCGCGCUCAACGGGGGAACUGCCUUGGAAACUGGCAGACUGGAGGGCGUGAGAGGUGAGUGGAAUUCCAGGUGUAGGAGUGAAAUCCGUAGAUAUCUGGAGGAACAUCAGUGGCGAAGGCGACUAUCUGGCACAUAACUGACGCUGAGGAGCGAAAGCGUGGGUAGCAAACAGGAUUAGAUACCCCUGUAGUC
rnacentral:rRNA from 1 species